UUUUUGUUUUUAAAAUGUAUGGAGCCUUGAUGAACACAAAGAAUUGAGUCAUGCCACGGAUUACUUUGUGUCUGAUCACUCUGGUCUCUCCGUCUAGAAUCUGAAGAUUGGCUCUCUGAUGCUGGGCUGUGAGAAGGAAGUGUCAGACUUUGAGGCAGUAGCUGGUCUCCCAAGUGUUCUCGUUGGUUACCUGCCAAUCUGACUCCUGUACCAUUAUUCUUAAGGACAACCUGAAGACAGUUUGAAGGUACUGCUAUAUAUUCAUUUUAAUUAAAUUUAUUUUAUUUAAAUGGUUUUGAGGUUUUUUUUUUUUUUUUUGUCUUGUUUAUUUUUUUUUUAUUUAACUCAUGUAAAUAUUGUGGAGUUUUUUAUUUUUUUUUAUUUUAUUAUUUUACUUUUAUUUCAUUUAUUUAAAUGAUUUUUGUUUUUAUUUCAUUGUUAAUAUUAUUAAUGUUAUAUUUUCAUUUAUUUCAGUACGAUUUUAAAUCAUAUUUUGUAAUUUGUUUUUUUUUUGUUUUAGAUUUUAAAUCAUAAUUUAUAAUUAGUUUUCUUUUCAUUUAUUUAAAUAUUUUUUUUUACAUUUGUAAUUAAAUUAUUUUGCUCCUUCAUGGGACAAUUAUUUUACUGUGUACUUUUAAUAUAUAGAUUUAAGUAAUAUUUCAUAUAAUUUUGCUCAGUUGCAUGCUCAUAUUUUUUCAUAUUUUGUUUUUGUGGCUCAGUGUGAGGAAUAUGCUUUUCAUUUGUGUUGUAGUGAUAAUGUCAGCUUUUUGGACUUUUGAAAUUAUUUUAUAUGACAUUUACCAAGCAAGACAUUUUUAAUUUUGACAAAACAUUAAUUUUACUGGGGUUUUUCUCUUAUAAAAUAUUCUCUUUCAACAGGCUUCUGCCAGUCUCUCACCCCAACUUUAAAGUUUUCCUCCCUGAACUCACUCUUCUGCCCAGAAAACUGAAUGAUUCUGAUAAGAAGACAAUUAACAAAGUGAACUACAAGCCUGGAGAUGAAGUCAUUGCUUUGCGUCAAAGACGCUUUUUAAAACAGGACAGACCAUUUCUGCAAAGGUUGUUGGUGUUGGUACCAGCCGGCCUUUUCGUCUUUCUCUGCACUAUCAGUACUGUGAGAGGAGAUUUGAUGUGACAUCAUUUUCUCCUCGUUACACCAAACGCUGAGUCACACUGCUCUUGAUGUCGUGACGCAUGUGGCGGUCGUCUCUUGAGUGUCUUAAGCAUUUCCUGUGUGUCCUGUUGCUGUAGGGACAUACAAGCUGGAGCAAGGGUUGGUCACCAUGGCGAUGGUUUGGAAAAUUGAGCCUCACAUGGGACUGUUUCUCAAACUCCCAUUUGGGAAUUCGGGCUUUGCUUCGGUAACGGAUCUCUCUGAUGCAUACGCAGACAACCCGCUAGAGCCCUACAAGCUGGGCCAACUAGUCCAGAGGCUGAGAAUCUUUAUUAACAGCAUGGUGAAACGCUUCAGACAGGAGAAGGCUGUAUAUCUGUUAGGGCAACUUCCUGCUACGAGUGCCAGAGCGACGUUGCAAAUGCCCUUCUGCAGAGGGCGCUGCAGAGCCUGUCCAAUGAGGAACGUGAGUGCCAGCUACACUUCAUACAUGCAUACUUCAUUCCCACAUGUAUGCAUGCAUUGA
ensembl:lncRNA